GGUUGUGGCUCAGUGGUAGAGUACUUGCCUAGCAUGCGUGAGGCACUGGGUUCGAUCCCCGGCACCA
rnacentral:tRNA from 1 species